rnacentral:rRNA from 1 species
AAAUAAAAAUUAAUAAUUUAUAUUAUAAUAAAAAUAAUUUUAAUAUUAAAAUAUGGGGGGGUUUAAGUAUUUUAAUAGAAAAAAUAAAAAAAUUUAUAAUAAAUUAGUAUAGUAAUAGAAAUUUGAAAUAAAAUGAAAAUAAAAUUAUUUAAAAGUAAAUUUAAUUUAUUGUAUCUUGUGUAUCAGAGUUUAUUAAAUAAUUUAUAAAGAUUAAUAUAUCUCGAAUUUAAAAGAGUUAAUUAAUUAAUAAAUUUAAUGUAAAAUAAUUAUUUUAAAUAAUUAAUUAGAAAUGAAAUGUUAAUCGUUUUUAAAUAUAUCUAGUUAUUUUAGAAAAAAAUUUAAUUUUAAAUUUAUUAUUUAUUUAAAUUAAUUAAUUAAUUUAAAUAAAUAAUAAAUUUUAUAAUUUAAGGGAUAAGCUUUAAAUUAAAAUAAUUAUAAAAUAAAAUUAAAAUAUUUAAAAUUUUUAAAAUUUAUAUUGUUUAAAAAUUAAAAUUUUUUAUAAAAAAUUUUAAAAUAAAUAAAAUUUAAUUUAAAUUUAAUUUUUUAUAAAAAUAUAAUUUUUAAUAAGAAAUAAUUAAAAAUAAUGAUAAAAUUAGUAUAAAUAAAUGAAAUAUUAUAAAUAUAAUAAUUUGAAUAAUUAAAUAAAAGGAAUUCGGCAAAAUUUUAUAUUCACCUGUUUAACAAAAACAUGUCUUUUUGAUUUAAUUUAAAGUCUAAUCUGCCCACUGAUUAUAAUUAAAGGGCUGCAGUAAUUUGACUGUACAAAGGUAGCAUAAUCAUUAGUCUUUUAAUUGAAGACUUGUAUGAAUGAUUUGAUGAAAUAUAAACUGUCUCUUAUUUAUAUUUAAAAUUUAAUUUUUUAGUUAAAAAGCUAAAAUAUUUUUAAAAGACGAGAAGACCCUAUAGAGUUUUAUAAUUUAUAAAUUAAAAUAUUUAUAUAAAAUUUUAAUAUUAUAUUUUAUGAAAUAUUUUAUUGGGGUGAUAAAAAAAUAAAAAAAACUUUUUUUUAUAAUAUCAAAAAUAAUUGAAUAGAUGAUCCAAAUUAAUGAUUAAAAGAAAAAAUUACCUUAGGGAUAACAGCGUAAUAUUUUUUUUUAGUUCAAAUAAAAAAAAAAGUUUGCGACCUCGAUGUUGGAUUAAGAUAAAAUUUAGAUGUAAAAGUUUAAAAUUUUGAUCUGUUCGAUCAUUAAAAUCUUACAUGAUCUGAGUUCAAACCGGUGUAAGCCAGGUUGGUUUCUAUCUUUAAAAUAAUAAAAUAUUUUAGUACGAAAGGACCAAAUAUUUAAAAUAAUUUUUUUUUUAGAAUAUUAAUAAUAAAAUAAAUAAUUAUAUACAUAUAUAUUAUAUAUAUAUAUAUAUAUAUUAUUUAUAUA